AGUGGGGAAUUUUCCGCAAUGGGCGAAAGCCUGACGGAGCAAUCUUCGCGUGAGGGAUGACUGCCUAUGGGUUGUAAACCUCUUUUUUCAGGGGAGGAAUAAAUGACGUGUACCUGAAGAAUAAGCAUCGGCUAACUCCGUGCCAGCAGCCGCGGUAAGACGGAGGAUGCAAGUGUUAUCCGGAAUCACUGGGCGUAAAGCGUCUGUAGGUGGUUUAAUAAGUCAACUGUUAAA
rnacentral:rRNA from 1 species